GAUGAACGCUGGCGGCGUGCCUAAUACAUGCAAGUCGAGCGAACGGACGAGAAGCUUGCUUCUCUGAUGUAGCGGCGGACGGGUGAGUAACACGUUGAUAACCUACCUAUAAGACUGGGAUAACUUCGGGAAACCGGGGCUAAUACCGGAUGAUAUUUUUAACCGCAUGGUUCAAAAGUGAAAGACGGUCUUGCUGUCACUUAUAGAUGGAUCCGCGCUGCAUUAGCUAGUUGGUAAGGUAACGGCUUACCAAGGCAACGAUGCAUAGCCGACCUGAGAGGGUGAUCGGCCACACUGGAACUGAGACACGGUCCAGACUCCUACGGGAGGCAGCAGUAGGGAAUCUCCCGCAAUGGGCGAAAGCCUGACGGAGCAACGCCGCGUGAGUGAUGAAGGUCUUCGGAUCGUAAAACUCUGUUAUUAGGGAAGAACAUAUGUGUAAGUAACUGUGCACAUCUUGACGGUACCUAAUCAGAAAGCCACGGCUAACUACGUG
rnacentral:rRNA from 1 species